UAAGGACAAACAAUUAAUUUAGGAUGAAAGACUAGGAUUUCUCUACAAAUAGAUGAUUGAAGUAAUUACAUUGAAAAUCAUGUUGGGGACCCAUAGGGUCCCGGGGGGGCGAGCCCGGGAGCCCUUCGGGCUCCCCCCCCUUUAUCUACCCUUACCUGUCAAAAGGGGAAAAAAGAAAGGGGAUCCUUUGGAUCCCCGGACUCCCCCGGCCCCCCUUUUUAGCGUGGGGGAGAAAAAAACUGGAAACUGAAUCAUCUUAGUACCAGAAUAAAAAAUCAACCGAGAUCCCAAAAGUAGUGAGAACGAAAAUGGGGAAAUUUAUCGAACAAAGAGGGUAAGUAUUAUACAGUCCCGUAGAUAGAGCAUUUUGUAAAAGGGGGAGCGGGGCGCCCCUCCGGGGCGCCCCGGGCCCAUAGAAAGAUAUGGCCGGGGGGCGGGGAUCCUUCGGAUCCCCGCCCCCCCAUAAAAUAGGCGUCAUUUAUAGCCGGGGCCCCGCCCUCUCUAAUCCAAAGGAUGGAAAUACCGAUAGUGAAAUAGUACUGUGAAGGAAAGUUGAAAGAGAGUUGAAAUAGAACCGGAAAUCCUAAAAAAAAAGCAGUAGGUCUAUAGAGCCUGCGUACCUUUUGCAUAAGUGGUUCGCAAGUUUUUAAUUUGGCAAACUUGAACCGUAAGGUUGAGGUGUUACGAAAGUGAAAAAAGUCAAAUGAACCCGAAACCAAGUGAUCUACCCCUGAUCUGGCGUGGGCGAAGGGUCCAAAAGGGCUCCGUGCCGCGGCCUAACCGGUGGAUGUGGCAAAAUCCUCGGAUGAAUUGGGGGUAGUGGUGAUACGCCAAUCGCACUUGGAUAUAGCUGGUUUUCUGCGAAAACUAUCUAAGUAGUGCCGGCACUCCCGUGUUUUUGUCGAGUCAGACAUAGGACGAUAAGGCCCUAUGUCUAAUGGGAAACAACCCUAAUCAUUAGUUAAGGACAUUAAGAAAAAAAUAAGUGUAAAAGAAGAAAAAUAAUAAAGACAACGAGUUAAUAGGCCUUGCACCAGCUAUUUAAUAAAGAGUUCGUAACAGUUCACUCGAUAAAUUAUUUUUUUUUUAAAAUUUUGGUGGCUUAAAAAAAAGGAGAAAACCAAUGUUUGUGACAUUUGUUUAAAAAAGGGGGGCAGGGGGGGGCGCCUAUUGCGGGAGGGACCCGAAGGGUCCCUCCCCUUCCGAAACUAUGAAAAGAAAAACCCGAGGGGGACCGGGGGCGCCUCGAGCCCUUCGGACUCCCGCGUUUUGGGUUUUUGAAUUGGUAGCAGAACGUAUAGUAAAAAAAAAUUCGAAAAGAAAAAUCUAUAGUGAUAAUGCGAACAUGAGUAACGAGGGAUCCUACGGAUCCGGGCCUAAGGUUUCCAAGGGGCCUAAAAGAGGCCCCGGGUGAACCAGUCCCUAAUAACUGAAUCAACGGCGGGGGGGGCGGGGGCGCUUCGAGCCCUUCUGGCUCCCCUCGGGUUUUAGCGAAGGGGUUUAAAUCUAAAAUACUGAUUAAUAGCCCAGGAAAUAAUUAGAAUUUUUUUUGACUGUACUAAAAUCUAACAAAAGUGGGCAAAUAAAAAAGGAGAAUUAUUAUUAAGGAACUCGGCAAGUUACACGUGUAAGAUUUCGAGAAACGUGAAAAACCCUUUAUGAGAAGGAAACUUCCUCAAGAGUUUAUCUAAGAUAAAAGGGAGCCUCGUCUGUUUACCAAAAACAUAGUUUUCAGCUAUUAACGCAAAAGCUUCGUAUUGAAAAUGAUGCCUGCCCAAUGAUUGUAUCUGAAAGGAAAGGAGGGGGGGCGAGAAAAGGAGGAGGCUAAAAAGCCUUCUUCCUCCCCCCGUGCUUAGCUUUCUAUAAGGACAAUUGAAUGGCCGCGGUAACUCUGACCGUGAUAAUGUAGCGAAAUCACUAGCCAGUUAAUUGCUGGCCUGUAUGAAUGGCUAAACGAGGGCUCCACUGUCUCAAUAAUAAACCUAGUGAAAUUGAGACGGCGGCGAAGACGCCGCCUAUGAAUUCUAAGACGAGAAGACCCCAUUGAGCUUUACUAUUAACUUGUAUUGCCAGAGCCAAGGGACCCUCCCCGGGUCCCUGCUUCAUAAUAAAAUUGUGAAGACUAAGUGGAAAAAGAAAAAACAAGGGAUUAAAAAGAACGGAGAGCCCGGAGGGCGGCGGGGGGGAGCCCUUUAGGCUCCCCCCCGCCGCCCUGUCCCGAUUUAUAUGAAAAACCACUCUUUUUAUUAAGAUUACUGUCUAAAACCGUACAAGUAAGAUAGUUUGGUUGGGGCGACCGCCUUCGAAAAAGUAUCGAAGGCGCACAUAAGAUUAGUCCGGAGGGGGGUCCAAAGGAUCCCCCUCCCGGGGGCAAUGCCCCAAAAAAAGAUUAGUUUGACUGAGAGGGCUACAACCCGAACAGACGCCAGGGACCCGGGGGGGGGGCCGGGGCGCCAUAGGCGCCCCGGCCCCCCCCCCCGCCUUUUGGCGGGUCAUAGUGAUCCGUUGUUAUAUUGUGGGAUUGACAACGAUCAACGAAGAAAAGUUACCAUGGGGAUAACAGCGUAAUAUCGUUUAAGAGUACCUAUCGCUGACGAUGUUUGCGACCUCGAUGUUGAAUUGUGAUAUCCUGGAGGUGCAGCAGCUUCCAAGGGUUGGACUGUUCGUCCAUUAAAAUCAUACAUGAUUUGAGUUCAGAUCGGCGUGAGCCAGGUCGGUUUCUAUCUAGAAUUCAAAAAUAAACAAAGACCAGUUUACCUUCUAGUACGAAAGGAUCGAAGGGUUUAUAUCCUCUGGUGAUUCAAUCCGAACACGAGAUCUUAAAAGGUCUUCAGGGGAAUCUUUUGGUUCCCGUUGUUGAGUAGCUACGAUAUAAAGAAUAAUUGCUGAAUGCAACUCAAGCAAGAAAUCUUUGGUCCGAAAAUUUUUAGUUACGGAGGGGGCGCCCCGGAGGGGCGCCCCGGGCUUCCCGAGCCCCUCCUGGCUUUAAAAUUUGUUUAAAAACAAUUGGGGUAGAUCACCCCGAUUU
rnacentral:rRNA from 1 species